UAGGAUUCCUUCAUUUUUUUCUAAAAAAAAAAAAUAUUUGAAUUAUUUAAUUAAAAAUAAUAAAUAAGAUUUUAAUCAUCCACGGGAAAAUUAUUUCAGUAAAUAAAAUCUGAAGUACUUAAUUGGCAUUUAAGGCAUCUUGAGAUUAUUAAUCAACCAACCUAUAAGACUGUUCAAGAACGGGACUAGGAACUUGUCGCCUCUUUGACUGAUAAUCACUCGAGAACGCACAGAAGCUUAGGAUGUUGCAGAAGCUUCCGCCACGAAUUUGAGAUACCUUAGACGCCUACUUCUCACUGCUGAUUGCUGAGGUAAAGCUAUCGCUUUUUCAUUGUAACAAAAAAAUUGGGACUAUUUCCAAUCUUUCGUUUCUGAGACAAUUUGUUCAUCCUUGGCUAAAAAGAACUUGAUUUGGCAAAGGAAGUCAAAUUUCAUUAAAACCCAAGCAGUUCUUUGCUUAAUAGAAUGUGUUUCUGCAUUCAAAAUCGAAGCUUUCAGGACUGGAAUCGGUGAUUAUCUCUGGGGUUGUAUUGGGGGGUUAUGCCUGAAAGGUAGGAGUAUUGUAAUUUAAUUUUGCCUGAAAUAGGCAUGGGUUCAGAACAAAACCGCCGCUGGAGUGUUUUUGAUAGGGUUAAGGUUAUUCCGGCAGCGCCUGAGGCUCUCAUGGCAGAGAUUGAUACAGCAAUUUCUAACCUUGAGUAUGCCCGGGCUACGGCCUACCUUGAGCCGCCGUCUUCAUCCGUUUUAAAGAAUAAGAGCUUAGCUUCGAGUCCAAGGCCGCGGUAUGAUGCCCGAAUGGCAGAUGAAGCUUAUAGGGCGGGAUGUGCUGCCUUGGCUGCAGGCGAGCUUGAUGAGGCUCUUCACUCUUUGAACAUUUCUCUUUCUAGAUGCCCACCUGAUAAGACCAGUGCCAUUGCUAAGAUUCAGUCUCUCAUUUCUCUCACGUCUCAGCAGCUCCAGAAGUCUCCCAAGUGAAUUACUUGAUGUUGGUUGUCAGAUUUUUUUUAUUGAAGACGUGCAAAUUGAUUGGGGGCCACUUGUUGAGUCACUAAUGGGAGAAAGAUAAGAGAGGGUCCUUAACACAAUGCUGCAGGAUCCAAUUGCUUGUAGAUAAGGUGUCUAAAUUUGGAAUAUGUUGAUGUUGUAUGUGAAUCAACUCCCUGGUACUUGCUCUUACAAA